AUUCAGCUGAUGAGUCCAAAAUAAGACGAAACGCACGUCCUGGAU
rnacentral:hammerhead_ribozyme from 1 species